rnacentral:lncRNA from 1 species
GUUAUAGUCUGUUUCACCUUAAUAUCAGUCUGACGUAGCCAUCGAAGAUCGUAUAAACGUCCGCGGACUACAAUAGUUACCUUUUAAAUGGAAUAUUGGCCAAUAAAAAACUCUGGCCAACAAUAUUAAUUCCCUCAUAGGACACUAAUAAUGAGAAAAAAAAUGAAAUUUUAAAGUUAGAGGAGGAAAAAUCAGAGCUAACCACGGUAAACGAGAUUAUAGCGUAGUUCAACAUGGCGUCUCGCUACGCCAAUUCAAACUUAAGGGGAAAAGUAUGUCGUAGUGAAACCAAAUGAGUUGUGGAUGGUAAAUUAAAAGGAAAACAUCCAGAUAAGUUUCAGUAAGAGGCAUCGUUGAUUCGGUUGCAGUUAACUGGUGUCUGGGUCGCGACAAUUUUCAAAAUCAAGAAAUUCGAUAGCGUAGGCAACGUGUCAGUCCGAAAGAGGUCGUUGAAGCGAAAACUUACAACAGACCGUGUAAGCGGUUAUGAUGACUCGGCUAAAACAGCCGUUGGUAGGAAGUUACACCAAUUUUUUUUUCCGUAACGAAUGCCCCACCUUACAUCGUCCGCCGACACAAGUAAACGCGGACGCCGACUUACCGACGUUAUGGCCAACGACUCUCGACAUCUCGGGUUUGUGUAUGAGAAACAUGGUAAUUCCAUGUUUAUCGAACGACCUGCCAUUAUUGCGUGCCGUCACGGGUAUCUUAGCACGAUUAAGCCGUUUCGGAAUGAAAAUCGAACAAUUUAUUACUCG